GUGUCAGCCGCCGCGGUAAUACGUAGGCAGCGAGCGUUGUUCGGAGUUACUGGGCGUAAAGAGUGCGUAGGCGGUUUUCCAAGUUUGGUGUGAAAUCUCCCGGCUUAACUGGGAGGGUGCGCCGAAAACUGGAAAGCUGGAGUAUGGGAGAGGUAAGCGGAAUUCCUGGUGUAGCGGUGAAAUGCGUAGAUAUCAGGAGGAACACCUGCGGUGUAGACGGCUUACUGGACCAUAACUGACGCUGAGGCACGAAAGCGUGGGUAGCAAACAGGAUUAGAAACCCUAGUAGUCC
rnacentral:rRNA from 1 species